rnacentral:rRNA from 1 species
UUAAAGCUGUUAGACGGAUAGCUUGGCUUGGGUUGCGAAGAAGGACGUGGCAAGCUGCGAAAAGUCUUGGCGAGUCGCAUGCAGACUUUGAACCAAGAAUUUCCUAAUUCGAUCCAACGAUUUCAUCAGAGAAUUCCGAGAGGAAGGCGUACGCUGGGAACUGAAACAUCUUAGUACCAGCAGGAAAAGAAAAUAAUAAUGAUGCUCUUAGUAGCAGCGAGCGAAAAGGGCAGAGGGCAAAGUGAAUCUAUUUCCGAAAGGAAAAUAGAGAUGUGCUAGACAUAAAUUCCUAAACAAAAAGUCGAAGUGAGCUGGAAAGCUCUGUCACAGAGGGUGAUAACCCCGUAGACAAAUUUGUAUGGAAUUGUCGACAGAGUAGUGCUUCUUGGAUUAGAAGCAUGAAUAUGGCAGGAUUAACUGCUAACCCUAAAUAUGAACCCAAGUCCGAUAGAGAACUAGUACCGCGAGGGAAAGCUGAAAAGUACUCUUAACAGAGGGUUAAAAGACUUGAAAUCUAACAGUUACAGAAAGUUACGGCGGUCUUCACAUUGUGAGGAGUUGUAACGUGCGUUUUGAAAAACGAGCCAGGGAGUUAACUUAAUUGGCAAGGUUAAUAUACUAUGUAUAGUAGCCAAAGCGAAAGCGAGCUUGAAAAAGCGAGAGUCAAUUGGGUUAGACCCGAAGCCGGAUGAUCUAUUCCUGGGCAAGGAGAAGUUUUCCGAAAGGAGAAUAGAUGCCUGAACCAAUACUGUGUACAUGCGUUUGGAUGACCUGGGAUUAGGGGUGAAAAGCCACUCGAAUUCGGCCAUGGCUGGUUCCUAUUGAAAUAUACCUUCGUAUAGUCUUACUUGUUUUUGUAUGCAAGGUAAAGUACGGAUAAAGUUUGCAGAGACAUUUGUCUACGGAACUUUUUCCAACUCAGAAUUUGCAUACUGAUAAAGUAGGAAACAGGGGCAGUGCGUAAGGUACUGUUCCGAAACCCGAACAAGGGUGCGUAUAGUUAAGGUCCCAAAAUUCUUGCUAAGUGCAAUUAAAUCUGGUCAGAAAUCUGAGACAGUAGGGAUGUAGGCCCAGAAGCAGCCACCAUUCAAAGAAAGCGUAACAGCUCACCUAUCGAGAUUUUCGGCGGAAAAAAUGGACGGGGCUAAGCAAGGUACCGAUACUAUACAGUUAUCCAGUUGGAUAAUCUGGUAAAUAGGCGUUCUUAUUGCGCAGAAGCUCUAUCUAAAGAUGGAGUGGAGUGAUAAGAAGUGAGAAUCCUGGUGGAAGUAAGAUCAGACCUCUCUGAGAAUCGGGAGGCGUCGAAAGAGCAAGGGUUCCGUAGCAAUAUCAAUUAACUACGGGUUAGUCAGCACCUAAGUUGUACCUUAACUGAGUACGACGAUGGACAUCAGGUUAAUAUUCCUGAACUUUUUUAUUCAUUGAUGCAUAGAACCACUUUGGGAUAAGUAAGUUCGCGAAAGUGGACUUUACAUAUAAAUUUGCGGAUUGUAAUAAAAGGAAGCAAAUGAAAGUGUGAAUGAGAAUUACUGAUUCCGAGAGUCCUUGAAAAGUCUAUGUUUGAGAAGAAAAAAAGCUGUACCAAGAUUUGGCACUGAUGCUCUAGCUGAGUAGGCUAAGACGUGAAAGUUCAAACUAGUUAAGGGAAUUCGGCAAAUUAGCCCUGUUACUUCGGUAUAAGGGGUGUCUAUGGUCAUUCAGAAAUUUGUGUGAUUGUAGAUUGCAAUAACAAAGAUGACCCGACUGUUUACCAAAAACGUAGCCAAUUGCAAAGCCGAAAGGCUGUGUACAAUUGGUGAACUCUGCCCAGUGGUAAUGUCUCAAACCUCUUUCCAAGGAGGCUAAGGCUUAUCAAACGGCGGGCCUAAUUUCUGAGGCUCUUAAGGUUGGGUAAAUAAAUUUACGUUGCCUUACAUUUUCUCGACGAGAAAAUGCUCCAAGCUUCAUAAAAAGGUAAACAAAAAUAAAGACUCGGGAGAAAAUCGAGCUAUAUGCUGGAAUAUCCGAGAAUCUUGAAAUACUCGUUAAGAAAUCAACAGUGAAAAUUUUCAAGUGCGGACAAUCAGCAGGAAAGACUAGAAUUAGUUCUAGAAUCCUCAGAGACUUUAUGCUCGACACAUUAAUUUGUGAAGAUAAAGUCCGAACUUUAUGGCGACAUAAAGACCAAAAAUCUUUUUAAGAUUUUGGGGUGCAAGAAAAAGUAAAGCUUUUUUGGCACAGAAAAUGUAAAACAUUUUCUUGUGCUCAGAAAUUUUCAAUUUCUGACAUUAACAAAAAUAUUGAGCGUAAUACCUUGUCGUCUGAAUGGCGACUUGCAUGAAUGAGUCAACGUGGUCGUCACUGUCCCUAACUAGAAACUUCUGAACUCAUCUGCCCGGUGAACAGACCGGGGACAUCUAAGGGGAAGCUAAGACCUUGUAGAUCUUUACUGCAGCUUGUUGUUGUAGCUUUAUGGAAAAUACAUAGAAUAAGUAGGAGCGUCGAAGUUAGGUUUCGGCCGAAAUGAGCAACAGUGUAAUACUACUUAUUUUUUGUGAAGUUACUAACUCUUAUAGAGGACAUCGACAGGUGGGCAGUUUGGCUGGGGCGGCACCCUGCAGAAAAGAUAUCUGUAGGGCCCAAAGUUGAGCUCAUCCAGGUCGGAAAUCUGGAGAAGAGCGCAAGCGCAAAAGCUCAACUGACUGUAUUCCUAACAAGACGGAAUGCAGAGGUGAAAGCCGGGGCUAGCGAACACACAAUGGCUUUUAAUGGGUCAUGUGUAUGACAGAAAAGAUACCUCAAGGAUAACAGGCUCGUCGCGCCCGAUAGUUCACAUUGACGGCGCGGUUUGGUACAUCGCUGUCGGCUCUUCCUAUCCUGGUUGUGCAGAAGCAACCAAGGGUGUCGGAGUUCACGCAUUAAAAGGAAUCGUUAGCUGGGUUAAAUACGUCGCGAGACAGUAUGUAUGAUAUCUCUUAGAUGCGUUGUUGAGUGAGUGGAACGAAUCUUUAGUACGAGAGGAACGGGAUUCGGGGGCCUCUAGUCUAGCAGUUCUCAUGUGGGAGGCUGCGCAGCCACGCCCUGUAUGGAUAAGAGCUGAAUGCAUCUAAGCUCGAAGCCAUCCGCAAGACGACUCAACUAAGGCCGUUGCAAAAGACAACGUUGAUAGAGUUGGUGUGUAAGAUUCAAGACCUCGAGAAUUUCAGCAUGCAACUACUAAAAGCCUUAUUUUUAAGAU